AAUUGGUGGUGUAGGGGUAAAAUCCGUAGAUAUCACCAAGAAUACCCAUUGCGAAGGCGAUCUGCUGGAACUCAACUGACGCUAAGGCGCGAAAGCGUGGGGAGCAAACAGGAUUAGAUACCCUGGUAGUCCACGCCCUAAACGAUGUACACUAGUUGUUGGGGUGCUAGUCAUCUCAGUAAUGCAGCUAACGCAUUAAGUGUACCGCCUGGGGAGUACGGUCGCAAGAUUAAAACUCAAAGGAAUAGACGGGGACCCGCACAAGCGGUGGAGCAUGUGGUUUAAUUCGAAGAUACGCGAAGAACCUUACCUG
rnacentral:rRNA from 2 species